rnacentral:tRNA from 1 species
GAGAGAUGGCCGAGUGGUCGAAGGCGCAGCAUUGGAAAUGCUGUGUAGGGGCAACUUUACCGAGGGUUCGAAUCCCUCUCUCUCC